AAAUUGCUCUUCCUUUCACAAAAACCUUUGGUUGCUGCAAUCGAAACCAAAGCUUCCUCUCUAAAACUCUCAGAUCCGAGCCACAACCCCCUAACUUAAACUCGACUCCUCCCCAGCCCCUGUUCUCUCAUCUUCGUUCAUCUCCUCAGCAGAUUUCCUGUACCAUUCCGACGCCACGGAGGAACCUCGUUUGGUAAAUAAAGAGAACGUGAAAAAUGAAGGAAUGACGGAAAAUCAUAGAUCCAACGGUCAAAAUUGAGAGCGGAGAUAUCAAAGACCUGCGGAUCCGAGAUUAUAAGGACUUCACUUCCAACUUCUUGAGUUGCAGCAAAUUCUUAGCCACGGGAUAAGGUAUUAAGUAUUGCAGUUCGUGACAACCCCAUAUCUCCAAAGUGGUUAGAUUCCUGAAGGAUAUUAAAGCUGAAGUUAGAUUCUCUAAUCUAUCACAAAGGUUCAGGGAUAGAGCUCCCAAGUCUGGAAAAACAGUGACCCCUGGUUGGGAGUUUUCCAUUCCUAGAUGUAUCAGCUCCGGCAUAUCGAUGAGCCCCAGAACCCUUACAUGUGGGAGAGCCUCAACUUCAUGUAUUUGCCCGCUACUACCUUGGUGGUCGUGGACAAAUAAGUCUUUCCAAACAGCAGAGAGUACACGGAGAAUUUCAAGAUUCCGUAAAUUCUCAAGGAUUACAUAUAUUUUUUGCGUAUCUUAUAUGGUGGUUGAUUAUUGGGAAUGAUGAUUAAACUGUGACAUAGGCUUCUGCUUCUGAAUUAUGUUUGCACGUUCCGAAAUCCCACUUUAAUAGAAAAACGAUUAUUUGUAUUUUUAUGUAAUUUGUUAAUUAUCUAAAUUCGAGUCUCGUCCCUUGGAUGUCUCAAUGUCACUCACAUCAAAUUUGAUAUCAAGGGUUGGAGAAUGAAUUCUUCGUCCUUAUAUCAAAUUUAAUGGUGAGUGAGCAUCCGUAUCUUUGAUGAAUUGGUUGGCGGGAAAAUUUAUUGAAUUUGCAUAGGUUGUAUAAAUAUGUUUGCAAAUUCUUUCAUUUGAAAGGAAAUUGAUAAUAAGAUAUUCAAUUCGGGUAAUUUGUUCUUUA